GUGAGAGGUGUGGUCCACUCUGCACAGGCCGCCAGUCUGUCACAGGACCACAUAGAGACAAAUACAUUCACACCUGCACACACACCUAUGGACAAUUUAAAGAUUCCAAUUCACCUAACAUGCAUGUCUUUUGGAUGUGGGAGGAGGCUGGAGCACCCGGA